AUUGAACGCUGGCGGCAGGCCUAACACAUGCAAGUCGAACGAGUGGCGGACGGGUGAGUAAUGUCUGGGAAACUGCCUGAUGGAGGGGGAUAACUACUGGAAACGGUAGCUAAUACCGCAUACCAUCGGAUGAGCCCAGAUGGGAUUAGCUAGUAGGUGGGGUAAAGGCUCACCUAGGCGACGAUCCCUAGCUGGUCUGAGAGGCUGACCAGCCACACUGGAACGGAGACACGGCCCAGACUCCUACGGGAGGCAGCAGUGGGGAAUAUUGCGCAAUGGGGGCAAGCCUGAUACAGCCAUGCCGCGUGUAUGAAGAAGGCCUUCGGGUUGUAAAGUUCUUUCAGCGGGGAGGCGUUACCCGCAGAAGAAGCACCGGCUAACUCCGUGCCAGCAGCCGCGGUAAUAC
rnacentral:rRNA from 1 species